rnacentral:rRNA from 1 species
UACGUAGGUGACCAGCGUUGUCCGGAUUUACUGGGCGUAAAGAGCGCGCAGGCGGUCGUUCAAGUCGAGUGUGAAAGCCCCCGGCUCAACUGGGGAGGGUCACUCGAUACUGAUCGACUUGAAGGCAGGAGAGGGAAGCGGAAUUCCCGGUGUAGUGGUGAAAUGCGUAGAUAUCGACAGGAACGCCGGUGGCGAAAGCGGACCGCUGGCCCUCUUCUGACGCUGAGGCGCGAAAGCCAGGGGAGCGAACGGG